UCCCAUAAUAAACAUCCUUGCAAUUGUAUGCUUUCAAGGGUCUUGCUUCAAAUGUAAUGGACUUGUUAGUUGCAACCUCAUUAGUUGUUCUCUUGUAAGUAUUGAACCACUUAGCUUGCAUGUAGCUAUUUCUUCUCCAUGGAGGUACAUGCAUAUCCAUUGUUUUCAUAGAAUCCUUAAUAGCACUGCACAUUAUCCUCACAACCCUUUUCAGCUCUUCCACUUUACCAACAAAUACUAAAGGGAAAACAUCAAGUAAUGAAGUAUAUUGAUUUGUGGGUCGAGCUAUUUCAAAUUCAGCCAUAAGGGAUGUUUCAACAAUGUAACGAUUUCCACCAUAAUUCACAUCAAUGUACUCAUAGUCACCCGAUGGAAAUUUUCUAUUUCUUUCCCACUUAGAUUUGCAAAGCCCUGUACACAAAAAGUACAACAAAAAAAACAUUAAAACAAAUUCCACAAUUUGAAUUGAAAGAAAUUCAAUCAGUAUUAAAACUUAAUCAAAUUUUUUAAUUUAAACCUGUUUUUAAAUUUGAUUUAAUCUUAAUUUAAAUUUAAAUCAAAUUUAAUCUUCUAAUUAAAUCAAUAUUAACAAAUGAAUGAAUGAAUUAAGCAAAGGUAAACAGUAAGUAAAUAAUUACCAGCAUCAAAUCCUCUUUCCCGCAAGCGUGACAUCACCAUGCGUUUGAAUCCAGGCGAAGAUUUGUCACCACCAACAACUUCAAUUGCAAGUUCAGCCUCUCUUCUAAUCUUCUCUUUCACAGUAUCAUUAAAAAUCUCUUUCAGUAUCUCCCUCUUCUCCUCGUAAUCAUACCACUCAAAAUCACGAUCCUCCUUAUCAAAAGCAACCGCAUCUUCUUCUGCUCUCACAGAAUUCUUCUCCAAGAACGAUUUCACAAGAUCUGAUAAAUCGGUUGAACUUUCAGGUGAGUGUUCGCUUCCACUACUUUCACAUAGCCUCACACGCGCCACCUCAUCACUCUCAAACGCCGCCGCUACCCUCUCAAACCUCACCGGAAUAAUCCUUCCCAUUUCUAACAUGGUGCUUGAAUGAAUAAAGUUAUACUAUAUCUAUAUUUAUAUAUCUCUCAAUGGCAUGCAAAUGAAUGAAUUAAGUGAUAGUUAAUAAAGGAUUAUAUAAGUAUAUGUUGUUGAAAUGGUGAAAUAGUGUUAACAUAAAUUAAUACUAAGGACGAAUUAGAAAGAAAGAGAGAAGAUGACAAUGAGAUGGAGUAAGAAUGAUGCUACAGGGAAACGGCGUCUUAUUUAUACAUAAAAUCUCACUUACACAUUUGUCUUGUAGCAGCAUGAAUGUAGUCACUAUUAUAACAUUUUUGGCCGAAUAUAGUUCCCUAAAGCGUCUAGAUUCACUUUUACAAUAUUGAAUGUGAAAUUUAUUAAUCUUCCACAAAAUGAGAAUAUACACGUGUAACAAUUACUCUAUUAGUAUUAGUAAUUACUAGUAUAUUAAAAGCACAAGAUGAGAAUAUACCAAAAAAAUUACUCAUUUGAUCUCAUUUAUAAAUAAAAAUUCGUAGCUACAUUCAAUUACUAAUAUAUUUGACCAGUGCUCUCUCCAUUUUUAAAUAUUAGUAAAAUUGAUUUUUCAGGUUCAUUCAUUUAAUGAUGUAUGUGGUUCAUAUUAUGAACCACAUACAUUAUUAAAUGAAUGAAUCUAAAAGUAAAUUUUGCUUAUAUUUAAAGAUGGAGGGAGUAUUAUAUAUCAAAUACAAUAAUUAUUAAAUAAAUUUAAAAUGUAUUUCAUUUGUUCCAAAAUAUAAGCAAAAAUAGGUUAACAUAAAAUUAAUGUAUUUAGUACAAAUUUUAUACUAAAUACAUUAAUUAUUUUAAUCAAUUUUUCUUAUAUUUUAAAAGAGAGAGUAAUUGUUAAUCAUAAUUUUGAUUCGAGGAGUACAAAAUUAGGCUUGACCAAAAAAAAAAGUUACAAAAUGAUAAUGAUCCAUCAUGUGUAUGUGAUCAUUUUUCAAGAAAAAUAAAUAAUCAUGUGAUCAUAGUACGGUGUUUUUUUUUUUUUUUUUUACUAAUUUGACGCAUACAAGUUGAAGUAAUAGAAAGAAAAAAAAAAACCGUAAAAAAAAAAGCUAAAUAACACCGGGUGCAUGUUUGAGGUUUUGUAAUAAAUUGAUCAUUUAAGUUAUUUUGGUCAUAAGUAAAGUUUGAGGUUUGUAAUAGAUUGAUUAUUUUAGUCACACAUAAAACAUUUAAGUUUGUAAAAAUGUUUGAUUUAGUCAUUCUGACACAUCAUCGUUUUUGUAAUGUUUAAUUAACAAAAGGACUAAAUUGAAAACAUUUACAAACUUAAACACUUAUGUGUGACUAAAAUAACUUAAAAGACAAAUAUGUUGCAAACCUCAAACUUAAAGGCUUACGUGUUACCAAAAUAACUUAAAGAACUAAUCUAUUACAAACCUCAAAUUUAAAGGAUCCCUGAUGUAAUUUAACCUAAAAAAAAGUUGAAGUAACAAGUUUAUAUAACAUAAGAAUAUAUAUAUAUAUAUAUAUAUAUAUAUAUAUAUAUAUAUAUAUAUAUAUAUAUAUAUAUAUAUAUAUAUAUAUAUCAAUUAAUCCUAAAACAUGACUAAAUUUAUCUCAUAAUUUAAACCAAAAAUGCAGCAAUUUUAAAUUUCUUGAUGGGUAGGUUUACCAUUUUAUUAUGUUUUUAAUUAUCCGAUUCAAGAUACUAGUCUUUGCCGUGCGUGUAAAGAAUCAGUGGCGAAGCCUUGUUAGCUAGGGAUCGAGUGCGCCACAACCCACCCCACCAAAAUAAUUUAAUUUCUUUUAUAGGAGAAAUUAUUAAAAUAUCAUUGGGUGGGAUGGCUUUCAAAAAUUGAAAAGCCAAUGAGAUGCCUUGAACAAUGAUAUCCUUAUGUUCCAUACCAUAGUUGUGAACAGGAAGUAACAAAAACUCAAGAAGAGUGUAGCGCACACCAUCCUCCAAAUGAGAUUAUUCUGUCUGAUGUGGUUCCUAGAUGGGCUGUUAUUGGUUGGCUUUUGACAACUUUUAGGAGGAAGAAUUACGUUGACGCCAAUGCGGAACUGGCUUAGUUUUAUGAUUGGCUCUUUUUUGAUGAAAAUGUGGACAAUAAGAUGAAGAUAGAGCCUGCUAUUUUGUUGACGGUGCAUUCUAUUUCCCAGUAUUUUGACAUGUCACAUGACCAACAGUACUCUUCUUGAGUUUUUGUAACUUCUUGUGGACAACUAUGAUAUGGAACAUAAGGAUAUCAUUGUCAAAAGGCAUCUCAUUGGCCUUUUGAUUUCUUGAAAGCAAAGGUGUGAUUCAGUCGCAUAAUGUUUUGACUUCUUCUCCUACAUUGUCUCCUUCUCUAAAAGAGGGAUUGAGUAGGCUAUUAUCAUCUGGAAAGCUUGAAAGUUCUAAAGGAUUUCUUCCAGGUAUGUUCUAGUCUAUCAUGCUUACCUUCAAGUUUCUUAAAUUUAUCUUUAAUCUAAGAGUUCACAUGAUUAACAACUUAACAACUUUAUAUAAGAUAAAAUGAUGAUAUUUUAGGGUUUUAAAUCCAAAAAGGCGCAUUUAAUGAACCGGGACGCGGACCCACCCGGAGAAAACAUAUAUGAGAAACCAAAGAUCGGAAUCGGAAGAUUCACAUGAUUCCACCACUCCCACGAUUUUUCAAGGCGAUCCGGACAACUCCCCACCAAAUUCUGAUUCCAGUCGUACACGAGCACGCCAAGGGGUGGCAAGACUGUAGUAGCGUACGAUCUUACGUUUCGAAUUGGGAUCUAGUCUACCAUGGCCUAGAGGUAGUGUCUCAUCUACAUCUUCCAACCAAUAUGUCUCGAGAAUUUUAACAGCCUUCUCAUAAAUUUCUUUGUUGUCAUGACUCUGCAAGUUUUCGAUUUUUCCAAUCCCUCAGCAUCAUCUAUCAUCUGAGCAUACAAGUUGACAUCUCCCGUGUUACAAAAGCUUUUCUCCGCUUCUCCAACCUUUAGAAAAUUCUCAAGACCAUCUAAACAGACAGAAACAAUUUUUGGAUCAGGGCAAACAAGCAAAUCACACAGAGGCUUAAUGCAACCAUGGCUCACCAAGUACCUUGCAAUAACAGCAACAUUGGGAAAUUUAAUAUGUAAACUCUCAAUAAUAGUAUAAAGCAGAGCCAAAAAAUAACCGUUAAAAAUAACUUCACAUACUUGAUUUGCUCAUGAGUACCAUCAGAUGUAGCAUUACGGAGUGCACAUGCAGCUUCUUUUUUAAUCGCAAGCUCGGCAUUUUGAAGAAGAUUGACUAGGGGAGCAAUCAGACCAGCUUCGAUAACAGCCUGCAUUAUACAUAAAAGGUUGAGUUCACAACGCUUUUUCGGUAAAUAAGGCAACUAAAAAUCACAUACUUAGCACUUGGCAGUAAAAUGCAAGCAAAACUAAGACCCAACCUAAAACAGAAAAUAUAAUAUCAAUAGUCAAGCACCACAAUACAUCCCCUUCAAUGAUGUAUUUACUACAAAAUGGAAAAUAAAGGUAUACAUCACCAUCCAACUAUUACUCUGAUUGGUGUGUAACCUGAUAACUAAAUAUAUCAUCAACAAGACUAUAAGUUAAUAUUGCACCACAUCUCCAUGUUAAAAAACAUGUAGCUUCAAAUUAUAUGCAUCAAACUUGAAGAAAAGCAUAAGCAAUACAGAAACUAACAUUGCACAUUAUUAUACAUGAUCGAUAUGUAACAUUAUUUGAGUAUAAAAAAGAUGGGAUUUAUUAGCUUACUUGUAUCCGCUCCCUGUUUCCAACUACAAUGUUUGAUAUAAUCCAGCAAGCGUCCUUCUUAAUACUUUCCUUGUGGUUUUGGAUCAACAGGCUCAAAAGGAAUGGGAGUAAACCAUGAUUGAUAAUAGCCUGACAAAUAGAGUCCUACCAAAUCAAGUAAUUCUCACAGGUGACACAUAUUGAGAUGACAAAAAGACAAGGGGUGAGAAGAGACUAGGCUUAAAUGCUCUUUUGGUCCCUUAACUUGAUUUCAAGUAUCGGUUUGGUCCCAUAAGUAAUAAAAAGUCUGUUUAGGUCCCUUAACUUUAUUAAAAGUAUCAGUUUGGUCCUUUCUGUUAAUUUAAUUCAAAAAACGUUGAAUAUCACUUGACUUCUUUAGCAUCAUUAGAUGAGGUUGAUACAGAUAUCAGUAUAGAGACUUGAGCUGAGGUUGACUUUCAAACACCAUUCUUUUUAAUUUAGUGGUAUUGGGCAUGUAAAAUGUGAUAGAUAGCCUUCUUUAGGGGAACUCGUCAGCAAAAGUUCCGCCAAAAACAAAUAUCCUGCAAAGUUUAUAUAUCAAACCAAUGCAUACAUCACCAUUAUCAUCCUGGUUUUGGUGAUCAUCAGUGACUCGUUUUGUCGGUUGUAAACCUUGUGUAAAGUGUGGGGAUUAUCUUGUUGAGAGAUGUUUGAAGCAGAUGGAUACAACUUUCAAUUUUGGUGAUAAUCAUAUAUUGCAGAUUUAUGGAUUCACUCAAUAGUCAUUGGUUAGUAGACAAGUAUGGAGUGGGACUAGCAAUCCUCUUGAGGUCAAAGAUGAACUUGGUUUGCUUUCUUCUUCUUAUGCAGUUUAUUAGUCGGAAAACUCUUCACAUCUGCGUAUGUUGAUGGAUUAGAAUGUGUAAGCAUAUUUAGUUGCAGAAAUAGAAAUUUCGACUCCUUAUCAUUAUUUGUGGUAGAAAGUACACUGAGAAACAGGAAAGCCGGAUAUGCAUUUUCUUGGUUUGAUAUAUUCUUCUGUUACCUCUCCCUCUCAGUCUUAAAGCUUCUGAACUUAAGUUUGUAGAAUUGUAUGUAAUUUUACACAAAUUCGUGUGAAGUAAUGGAAAGGUUUCACAGUGGCUUUGCAUAUAAAAUAUAUCAUUGUCUAUUGUUCAUUGUAUUUUAUGCUUGUAGCUGUUUAUUUUGACUGCUGAUGGCAGUUAUGAAGUUAGAACCUUAAUAUAGUAUACUGAACUCCAAUCAUUUUGGAAUUCUCAAUGGUUUUUAACAAAAUGUAGUAGCCUAGUAGGUAAAUUUUGUGGAAUGUUAGUUAAAUAUCAAAACAAGAUUUGGUGAGGAUUAUAACAGUAGCUGUUGUGCUUGAUGAUUUUCGAUUACCUGCUUAUGCCCACCAUGUUACAUAACAUAUUGACCAUGUUGUUAUCAACUACCAGUCUUGCAUAGUCCAUUGAUUCAGGCAUUGGAUUUCAAUAUCUCUUGGUUGAGAAUUUGUCUAAUGGAACUUUCCUCACAAUUGAGCUGCAAUAUAAUAUGGUCUAUGUGAAGUAGAUGAGGUGGUCACUGGUCAGAAAUAAAUCAAUAGAUAUUUGCACAAACUCAGCUGCAAUAUUAAUAUGGUCUACGUUCUUUCUAUGAAUGUUCAACAUGAUCAUUUGUAUGAGUAAGACUAUAUCCUCCUAAUACUCUUACUAUUAUAUUUUGUUAAAAAGGUAUUAAAUGAAAAAGUUUGAAAGCAAAAGUUACUUAAUUUACCUUCAUUAUUGAAUAAUAAUAACUAAGAUGCUUAUCAACGAUAUCAAUAGAAGGGUGACAUUUUAGUUAGACUGGAGGAAUAUAUACCAAAUUAGGUUGUAACCUUCAUAUAGUUGUUAAGCAACUUUCAAGGGUGACAUUUAUGGUUUUGGUAUUGCUCUUGUUGAGCUUCUUCCUAGUUGGAGGCCAGUUUCUUACUACUUUCUGAAGACCUGUCAUUGGUUAUUAGAUGUUUGGAUCCUCUGCAAAUAAGGGUAGGAGGAUAGAAAAGAUUGAGUUGAAAUAGAGAGUUGAUGAAGAGAGAACGAAGAAUCAAAGAUGGCGAAGAUGCAAUUUUGGUAUGUUAUACUCUACAAUAUGAUAUCUCUAUUUGUUUUGAACAAGCCAUAUCUCUUCUUUUUGGUCUUAACCCUUCUAUUCUAAUAAUUUGGAGUUUGGUUCGAAGGUAAGUAAUAUUUGUCAUAGGAUUGUUUCAGCCGAGAUUUAAAUUCAAAUUCUUCCGAACAAUUCGUUCAUUAUAGGUGGAAUGAGACUUAUCACUACCAUUCAUAGAGAAUAACAUUAUGUAGAGGAACAACCAAAUAUCUACGGAGUAGUAAUUUUCACAAAUAAUUAUCUUGAAUAAAUAGAUAAAUUAAAAUGCUUCCAAUAGUCCAAAAUCAAAAGGCAAAAAUUACCCCUUAACACAGCUCUAGGAAAACUGUGCUAAAGCACCUCUGUGCCCUGUGCUAAGGGGUUUUACACAGUCACCUAAAGAAGGAAAAACUGUGUAUGUGCAUAUGGUUAUUCAACAUUAAAUUUAGCAGCCAAAUGGCCAACUCUAACAGCAAUUUUACUCCCAUAAUAAACAUCCUUGCAAUUGUAUGCUUUCAAGGGUCUUGCUUCAAAUGUAAUGGACUUGUUAGUUGCAACCUCAUUAGUUGUUCUCUUGUAAGUAUUGAACCACUUAGCUUGCAUGUAGCUAUUUCUUCUCCAUGGAGGUACAUGCAUAUCCAUUGUUUUCAUAGAAUCCUUAAUAGCACUGCACAUUAUCCUCACAACCCUUUUCAGCUCUUCCACUUUACCAACAAAUACUAAAGGGAAAACAUCAAGUAAUGAAGUAUAUUGAUUUGUGGGUCGAGCUAUUUCA
rnacentral:lncRNA from 1 species